GGAGACUCUGUGCGCGUGCAUAUCAAUAAGCGGAGGAAAAGAAACUAACAAGGAUUCCCCUAGUAACGGCGAGUGAAGCGGGAAGAGCUCAAACUUGAAAUCUUAAGGGUUUCCCUUGACGAAUUGUAGUUUAUAGAAGUGUUUUCUGUAGUGGAGUUCGGUAAAAGUUCUUUGGAAUAGGACAUCAUAGAGGGUGAGAAUCCCGUAUUUGACCGUUACUUUCCUAGCUGUGUGAUACACUUUCAAAGAGUCGGAUUGUUUGGGAAUGCAGUCCAAAAUGGGUGGUAAAUUUCAUCUAAAGCUAAAUAUUGGCGAGAGACCGAUAGCGAACAAGUACCGUGAGGGAAAGAUGAAAAGAACUUUGAAAAGAGAGUUAAACAGUACGUGAAAUUGUCAAAAGGGAAGCGUUUGACACCAGUGUUGUUUUUCCGAAAAUCAAUUACGAAUGUUUUAUUUUUGAGGAGUUAUGACUUCAUCGGCUUGCUCCUUUCUUUAUGAAACUUUCUUAAUGCACUUUUCGGUUAACAAGUCAACAUCAAUUUCUUUUGUUGUAAAAGGGUAUGAGGAAGGUGGCUUUCUUUUCGGAGAAAGUGUUUAUAGCCUUGUAGCCUCUGCAAUCGGAGAGAUUGAGGUCUGCAGCGUAGAUCCCUCGGGGUUAGGAUACAGUUUGUGCUAAGUUAUAGCUUGUCAUAGACAACUUGUUGACUAUUGUUAAGUCAUUGUAGCUUACUCGCUGAUGCUAUUUUACCUACGCUUAGGAUGUUGACGAUCAGCUGAGCGCG
rnacentral:rRNA from 1 species